rnacentral:tRNA from 1 species
UCGAUAGUAGCUUAAAUUAAAGCCUUUAACUGUUAAUUAAAAAAAUAUUUAUUAAAAUAAAUCUAUAGAG